UACGGGGGGAGCAAGCGUUGUUCGGAUUUACUGGGCGUAAAGGGCGCGUAGGCGGCGCGACAAGUCACUUGUGAAAUCUCUGGGCUCAACCCAGAACGGUCAAGUGAUACUGUCGUGCUAGAGUGCGGAAGGGGCAACUGGAAUUCUUGGUGUAGCGGUGAAAUGCGUAGAUAUCAGGAAGAACACCCGUGGCGAAGGCGGCUUUCUGGGACGGUACUGACGCUGAGACGCGAAAGCGUGGGGAGCGAACAGG
rnacentral:rRNA from 1 species